rnacentral:rRNA from 1 species
GACGAACGCUGGCGGCGUGCUUAACACAUGCAAGUCGAACGGAAAGGCCCUGCUUUUGUGGGGUGCUCGAGUGGCGAACGGGUGAGUAACACGUGAGUAACCUGCCCUUGACUUUGGGAUAACUUCAGGAAACUGGGGCUAAUACCGGAUAGGAGCUCCUGCUGCAUGGUGGGGGUUGGAAAGUUUCGGCGGUUGGGGAUGGACUCGCGGCUUAUCAGCUUGUUGGUGGGGUAGUGGCUUACCAAGGCUUUGACGGGUAGCCGGCCUGAGAGGGUGACCAGCCACAUUGGGACUGAGAUACGGACCAGACUCCUACGGGAGGCAGCAGUGGGGAAUAUUGCACAAUGGGCGGAAGCCUGAUGCAGCAACGCCGCGUGCGGGAUGACGGCCUUCGGGUUGUAAACCGCUUUCGCCUGUGACGAAGCGUGAGUGACGGUAAUGGGUAAAGAAGCACCGGCUAACUACGUG